AUAUAUUUUUUUUUUUUUUUUUAAUUAAAGAUGUUGGAAUCUAUUAAUGGUUGAAGUACUGCAUGCAUUUAGCCCUGUUUUGGGUGUUCCAUAAACAAGAUUAUCAUUAUCAUUGUUGCCAUUUCUUCAUAGAAAAAAUGAUUCUGCUACUGUUGUAAAAUUUAGCUUCACAAAUUUCAAUAUUAGUUACUUCUAAGAGCAUGAUUAGGUGGGGCUUUUAUUCAACUGUGAAUAAAAGCUACAGUGACUAAUUCCAGCUGAUAAAAAUUGUUUUUAUGUUCUUCAUGAUAUUUCGAGUGUAUGUGUCUGUCUUGCUAUUACUGGCUUGUGGUAACUGGAUUAGUUAUUGGUACAUGCCAGCGGGUGGAGAAUGGAAAGUGGAGUUCUGAUGCAAUAAUAGUUCAUUUUUCAACUAAACAUUCUCAGCAGUAAAUAAUUGGACUUGCAUUUGGCGAACAGAGAGCUGCAAAUGCUCUUUUUAUGAGAGGUUGUCACAAACUGGAUAUACUGUCACUAUUACAUGUGAGGAAUGUUACUCGCGUUACAACUGAAAACAUGUUACUCGCGUUACAACUGAAAAC
rnacentral:misc_RNA from 1 species